CAACAAAUUGAAGAAGAUGCUAAAAACCAUGCCAAGACGAUAUUGGAAUUAAAAGCAGCCAUCAAUUGUUUUCAAACAAAGGACAUGGCUGAACUCAUUAAGUUCCAACAACAUAUGGAAGCCAUUCUUGAAGUUCUAACCGAUGAAAAUCAGGUGUAGGUGCUUGCAAAGUUUGAAGAUUUCCCUAUCAAGAAAUUGGAAACAAUAAGGGCAGCUGCAGCAUUGUACUCUAAAUCAAACUUGGUUGUUUCCAACUUAAAGAAUUGGGAAGUGAAAUCACCUGCUGCACAACUGUUGAACAAAUUUGAUUGCUAUUUCACCAAGGUCGAUUUUGCUCCCAUGCAUUUUUCAUUUUUCUUUUGUAUUAUAUGAUUUUCCAAUUAAAUGGAUUUUUUUCUUUAAAAAAAUAAACGAUAAAACAAUAUCAAUAUUUUU